AGCCUGAACGCUGGCGGCGUGGUUAAGACAUGCAAGUCGUACGGUGUAGCAAUACACAGUGGCGAACGGGUGAGUAAUGAAUCGCUAAUGUACCCCGGACUUUGGGAUAGCUGCCCGAAAGGGCAGGUAAUACCAGAUGAUAUAACUCUGUCGCAUGACAGAGUUCUCAAAGGUCCGCCGGUCUGGGAGCAGGCGAUUUCGUAUCAGCUAGUUGGUAGGGUAACGGCUUACCAAGGCGACGACGCGUAGCCGGACUGAGAGGUUGGCCGGCCACAUUGGGACUGAGACACUGCCCAGACUCCUACGGGGGGCUGCAGUAACGAAUCUUCCGCAAUGCACGAAAGUGUGACGGAGCGACGCCGCGUGUGGGACGAAGCCCUUCGGGGUGUAAACCACUGUCAAGGGAAAGAAAGUUCUGAUCUACCCUAGAGGAAGAGGCGGCUAACUCUGCGCCAGCAGCCGC
rnacentral:rRNA from 1 species